CUGGCCUUUACAGAGCAAUGCUGCUGAGCCCUGGUCCGGGGAGGUUACCUGGAGAUACAGGACAUUUGCAUGGCUGAUGGACCCAACGCCUUCCAGAAGAGUGCUUAGUGCUUGGCUUUGCCCAGCCCAAGAGAGCAAGGGUCUCCUCAAGGAGAAAGCACCAGAGAGAAUUAACGACGUGGGGGAAAGGCGACAAGAACCACCACAGCAUCAGGCCGGGGACACAGUUUAGGCUGCCGCUGUCCCUGCUCAGAGCAGCUCACACAGGUGGUCACUGCGCUCACACAAGAUCCCUACUCUCAACUUACCACUUACGUGUUGGAACAAAGGGCCUGGAGGUGCAGCAGCCCUCUCGCCACCAUGAGGAUGAAGACAUGCCUGCAGAAGAUACCAGAGCAGGAAGGUAGAGGGAGCCUGGGGAGCAGCCUGGUUUCGACCACACUAAGAUUUCUUUAAUCUGACACAGAUAAAGUCCUUCUUUUUUAAACAUCUUCAGGUUUUGUAUUGCAUUCAGUCAAACACAUGCCUAAUAUUCAUGGCACCUUAGGUCUUAACUUUCACUGACUUCAGCAAGGGGUACAGCAAGUUGAGCACAACUAGGGUGGAGGCAGGGCAGAGAAGGCAAUGGCACCCCACUCCAAUAUUCCUGCCUGGAAAAUCCCAUGGACGGAGAAGCCUGGUAGGUUGCAAUCCAUGGGGUCGCUGAGGGUUGGACAGGACUAAGCAA